rnacentral:rRNA from 1 species
AGCAAAAAUAAUUUUUUUUUAAAAAAAAUAAAGAAAAUUCUCAUUUAUAAAAGUAUUUCCAUAAAAAUAACCAAAUUAAAUAAACCGCAAGGGCCAAUCCUUAGCUCUCUAAAGAAAUGGUAAUUUCAUGUCCCUUUUGCAUCAUGGAGAAGCAACAAAAACCUAGUAAUCCAUUCUCCCGAAUGAUUAUGAGCUACUAACCUUUAAAAAUUAAUGUUUCAUAAUUAAUUAAAGUAAUUUUUAGUAGAAGUAACAAGCCUUUCAUAUAAUCAUAUAGCUGGUUUUUCCCUAAAAGCAUCACAGUGCUAGCCCAUAGCCAAAUACACUCCUUUACACUAUGAGGCUUACUUUACUGAGGAUUAGCUCAGUAAAGCCUAUAGAAAUACAUUAAUCAAUAUUACCAAAAGUAGGCUUAAAAGCAGCCAUCCAAUAACGUUUUAGUUACUGAAACUAAUACUUAAUAUUAAAUUCUGUUUAGUUCUUCUAAACCUAAAGAAAUUUAACAAAAAACCUAUUUGUUAUUAAACAGGCAUUCUAUUAGUAUUAAUAUACAAAACUGUUUAGCACUAUUAUAAAGGAUUAAAUCAUAAACCUGUUAUAUAAUCAUAUAUUUAAAGUGAACUCGGCAAAUUAGUUCCCUGCCUGUUUACCAAAAACAUCGUCUUUUGAAUCUCCGUAAUAAAAGAUAAUGCCUGCCCAGUGAAAUUUUAAACGGCCGCGUUAGCGUGAGCGUGCUAAGGUAGCGUAAUAAUUAGCCUUUUAAUUGGAGGCCAGUGAAUGGCAACACUAGGAACACCUUUACUUUAAAUAAUAAAAAAAUUUUUCAUCUAAGUGAAAAGACUUAGAUAAUAAAGGAAGACGAAAAGACCCCGCGGAGCUUUACCUUUUCCUGUACUUCUGUUUAUACACUUAAAUGUACUAGAGGUUUGAUUGGGGCAAUCUUGGAACCAAUAAAGCUUCCAAUACUUGAAAAACCCUAUUUAAAACUAAAUAAGGACCAAAAAGAAGCUACCCCGGGGAUAACAGCGUAAUCCAGUUUGAGAGUACAUAUCGAAAACUGGGUUUGCGACCUCGAUGUUGGCUUAAGGAUAUCCACAUUAGUGCAACCGCUAUGUCAGGAUAGUCUGUUCGACUAUUAUACCCUUACACGAGCUGAGUUAAGACCGGCGCAAGCUAGGUUGGUUUCUAUCUCCUUUAAUAAAUUGUCUUCUUGAUUGUACGAAAGGACCCCAAGGGAUGCAACUUUAAAAGGCAUUUUUAAUAAAUUAAUCGUAAAUU